rnacentral:lncRNA from 1 species
CAUCUGCAUAAGUUGUCAAUUCAUAUGGAACCACUUGUUUUCGAAUCUCAGUUCUCAGUCCCAUCUCAAACUUGUGAACACGUUCUUGCUCACCAUCCACUAAUCUCUGAGCAAAUUUUGCUAACGCUGUAAAUUUUGCUUCAUAUUCAGUCACACUCAUACCCUUUUGCUUCAAAUAAAUAAACUCUUGCUCUUUCUGGAUCCUUAUACUCCGAGAAAAAUACUGAUCAUAGAAUGCAAUCCAAAAUCUUUCCCAGGUAAGUAUUUCGCCGUCUUGUUCAUGCUUGCGCUAUAGUCGCUGACACCAGUUGUAUGCUUCUCCUUGUAGUAAAUAGGCUGCAUAUCGAAUCUUUUCUUCAUCAAGACACUCUUGGACAGCGAAAGCCUUCUCCAUCUCCAUUAUCCAGUUGUCAGCCUCCAAAGGUUCAGUAGUCCCCUUGAAAGCUGGAGGAGCAAGCUUUUUAAAUUCUGAAAUAUUAUUCCAUUGUACUGGUUGCUCUCCAUGUUGUGGUGGUGGAUGCUGAUGUUGUUGUGUAUCUCGUUGUAUCUGUUGUUGUUCAAACAUUUGCUGCUGCAUUUAUUGUUGCGCUUGUACCAUCCUGAUUAGGGUCUGCAUUAACUGAGCCAUAUCUGAUUCUUGACGUGCUCUCAAAGUACUCCUAUUAGGAUCUACGACUCCCUCCUGAGGGGUGCCACUGGUCAGAUGGGGAGUGCUACCAUCCCAAGGUUGUGAUGUUUCUCUUGCAAUUCCUUGAGUAGUUCUUGUCAUUCUACGGGGAGGCAUGGUAACCUUGUAGUAGUAAAACCUUAUUAGAUUCAUUUAUCUAUUUGUUAGGAUGGGNN